rnacentral:rRNA from 1 species
AACGAACGCUGGCGGCAGGCCUAACACAUGCAAGUCGAGCGGACAUCUUCGGAUGUUAGCGGCGGACGGGUGAGUAACGCGUGGGAACGUGCCCUUUGCUUCGGAAUAGCCUCGGGAAACUGGGAGUAAUACCGGAUGUACCCUUUGGGGGAAAGAUUUAUCGGCAAAGGAUCGGCCCGUGUUGGAUUAGGUAGUUGGUGGGGUAAUGGCCUACCAAGCCGACGAUCCAUAGCUGGUUUGAGAGGAUGAUCAGCCACACUGGGACUGAGACACGGCCCAGACUCCUACGGGAGGCAGCAGUGGGGAAUCUUAGACAAUGGGGGAAACCCUGAUCUAGCCAUGCCGCGUGAGCGAUGAAGGCCUUAGGGUUGUAAAGCUCUUUCACCGGGGAAGAUAAUGACGGUACCCGGAGAAGAAGCCCCGGCUAACUCCGUG